rnacentral:lncRNA from 1 species
AAUAAUCAUGUGUGGAAGGAUAUGAGAUUUCCAAACAACUAUACCGGUGCAAAAUGACAGAGUAAUCUUCAAUCGAUGCUUAGACACUGAAGAUGAUUGACUUUGAGAAAUGUCUCAACUGUGUUCAAUCAUAAACCAUGAACUAAGUAGUGACUUGGUUCUGUAAUCUCUGUCAGCUAAAGUUAUUCACAACUAAUUAUGAAUUUAACGUGAAUAAGCUCGAAUGCAAAAAUAUUAAGUUGUUUAACAUGCUUAGGACUGUUAACCCCUUUAUCAAAGUUGCUAGUGGGCAACCCAUUGAUUCCUCUAAAGAUAUUAAGAGGAAGUCUAAAAGAGCUUUGUGAAAGCACCCAGUAUGGUUAAGACAGUAUAAGCAAAAGGACAAAUACCAAAUCUAAUGACCCUUGGUUUCAUUAUAGAAUGAAAGGUCAUUGGAAGGAAUAUUGUAUGGCUUACGUCUACUUCGCGAGUUUCUUAGGUAUACGAUACCAGGUGUAAAUAUCGUAUUUAUACAAAUAUGGAGAAACUAAAAAGAAGUAGACCAC